UCAACAGUAUCUUCAAAAAAAUACCUGGAUUUAUUCAAGCCUUCCUUUACAAUACUUAUGGCUAUUACAGUCCGUAUGCCUAUUACUACACAUAUGUAUCUGAAUAUGAGAUCUGGUUCAGUAAAGAUGUUGAUGAUGAACUGAUAAGAAACAUUGCUGAAACUAUUGUCAAGGCUCAUGAAAAACUUGGAGGAAAUCUAACAGGGACAUAUUCUAUCUACAAGACACUGCAAGACAAAGCAGAUGGAACAUUAGCAAUAAACUGGAUAGAAGUAAUCAACAGACUUUCACUUGGCCAAUACUUUUGCAAUGGAGGAAAUUUCAUCAUCAAUAUCACAGACAACUUGAAUUUUAAUUGUA
rnacentral:sRNA from 1 species